CAGGAGCUAGUUUAAAAGAAAACAGUUGUUUUGGGGACAACCGAUGCAAAGUUAACAUUGCGCACCUGA
rnacentral:tRNA from 1 species